rnacentral:rRNA from 1 species
AACGAACGCUGGCGGCAGGCUUAACACAUGCAAGUCGAGCGCCCCGCAAGGGGAGCGGCAGACGGGUGAGUAACGCGUGGGAACGUACCCUUUGCUACGGAAUAGCUCCGGGAAACUGUCAUUCAUACCGUAUGUGCCCUACGGGGGAAAGAUGUAUCGGCAAAGGAUCGGCCCGCGUUGGAUAGGUAGUUCGUUGGGUAAUGGCCUACCCAGGCGACGUUACAUAGCUGGUCUGAGAGGAGGAAGAGCCACAUUGGGACUGAGACACGGCCCAAACUCCUACGGGAGGCAGCAGUGGGGAAUAUUGGGCAAUGGGCGCAAGCCUGAUCCAGCCAUGCCGCGUGAGUGAUGAAGGCCUUAGGGUUGUAAAGCUCUUUCACCGGAGAAGAUAAUGACGGUAUCCGGAGAAGAAGCCCCGGCUAACUUCGUGCCAGCCGCCGCCGUAACAC